rnacentral:snRNA from 1 species
GGAUGUGAGGGCGAUCUGGCUGCGACAUCUGCCACCCCAUUGAUCUCCAGGGUUGAUUCGGCUGAUCUGGCUGGCUAGGCGGGUGUCCCCUUCCUCCCUCAUCACUCCAUGUGCAUCCCUCCCGAAGCUGUGAGCAGGGCUAGGGAGAUAGUAUAAUGGUUCUGCAAAAGACAUUUAUGCCUGAGGUUCUGAAGUCCAGGUUCAAUCCCCAGCACCACCGUAAUCCAGAGCUGAGAAGUGCUCUAGUCUAAAAAUAAAUAAAUAAGUACAUAAAAAUAU